rnacentral:rRNA from 1 species
UACAGAGGUCUCAAGCGUUGUUCGGAUUCAUUGGGCGUAAAGGGCUCGUAGGCGGCCAACUAAGUCAGACGUGAAAUCCCUCGGCUUAACCGGGGAACUGCGUCUGAUACUGGAUGGCUAGAGUUUGGGAGAGGGAUGCGGAAUUCCAGGUGUAGCGGUGAAAUGCGUAGAUAUCUGGAGGAACACCGGUGGCGAAGGCGGCAUCCUGGACCAACACUGACGCUGAGUGAGCGAAAGCCGGGGGAGCAAACGGG